rnacentral:piRNA from 1 species
UCUGUGUGUCUUGAUGAGUUUGCUGAAGC